GACGAACGCUGGCGGCGUGCUUAACACAUGCAAGUCGAACGGUAAGGCCUUCGGGUACACGAGUGGCGAACGGGUGAGAACACGUGGGUGAUCUGCCCUGCACUUUGGGAUAAGCCUGGGAAACUGGGUCUAAUACCGAAUAGGACCACGCGCUUCAUGGUGUGUGGUGGAAAGCUUUUGCGGUGUGGGUUGGCCCGCGGCCUAUCAGCUUGUUGGUGGGGGAAUGGCCUACCAAGGCGACGACGGGUAGCCGGCCUGAGAGGGUGACCAGCCACACUGGGACUGAGAUACGGCCCAGACUCCUACGGGAGGCAGCAGUGGGGAAUAUUGCACAAUGGGCGCAAGCCUGAUGCAGCGACGCCGCGUGAGGGAUGACGGCCUUCGGGUUGUAAACCUCUUUCAGUAGGGACGAAGCGCAAGUGACGGUACCUAUAGAAGAAGGACCGGCCAACUACGUGCCAGCCGCCGCUGUAA
rnacentral:rRNA from 1 species